rnacentral:rRNA from 1 species
CAGUCGCCGCGGUAAUACGAAGGGAGCUAGCGUUGUUCGGAAUUACUGGGCGUAAAGCGCGCGUAGGCGGUUACUCAAGUCAGAGGUGAAAGCCCGGGGCUCAACCCCGGAACUGCCUUUGAAACUAGGUGACUAGAAUCUUGGAGAGGUCAGUGGAGUUCCGAGUGUAGAGGUGAAAUUCGUAGAUAUUCGGAAGAACACCAGUGGCGAAGGCGACUGACUGGACAAGUAUUGACGCUGAGGUGCGAAAGCGUGGGGAGCAAACAGGAUUAGAUACCCGCGUAGUCCCUGUCUCUUAUAC